ACAAGCGGAGGAGCAUGUGGUUUAAUCGAUGAUACGCGAGGAACCUUACCUGGGCUCGAACGUAAGAUGACUGUAGGUGAAAGCUUACAUCUCUUCGGAGCAUUUUACGAGGUGCUGCAUGGUUGUCGUCAGCUCGUGCCGUGAGGUGUCGGGUUAAGUCCCAUAACGAGCGCAACCCCUACCUUUAGUUGCCAUCAGGUAAUGCUGGGGACUCUAAAGGAACUGCCUACGCAAGUAGUGAGGAAGCGGGAUGACGUCAAAUCAGCACGGCCCUUACGUCCAGGGCUACACACGUGCUACAAUGGCCGAUACAGAGGGCAGCUACCUGGUGACAGGAUGCAAAUCUCCAAAGUCGGUCUCAGUUCGGAUCGGAGUCUGCAACCCGACUCCGUGAAGUUGGAUUCGCUAGUAAUCGCGCAUCAGCCAUGGCGCGGUGAAUACGUUCCCGGGCCUU
rnacentral:rRNA from 1 species